AUAAAAUAACUCAGGCUGGUCUCUUUGGCGAGCAUCACUUCGUGACAGACAAUAAUCAUGUUUGUGUGUAAAAUUGGCUCGCGCUCGUGCUGUUAUAUAGCAGCCGCGUGUCUGCUAGUGGCUCUUUUGCUAAUCGCUUUCCUGACAAUCUUUGGUGUUAUUCCAAUUAAAAAUGGGGACAUUCCCGCUGGCGAGGAUUGGAUGCGUCCGGAAACGACGAUACCUCAAGGAAGACUCAGAGGUAUAAAUAUGGCCACACACCGUGGCAGAAGAUUCUCUGCCUUCAUUGGAGUUCCGUUUGCCGAGCCACCGAUUGGAGAUCUUAGGUUUAAACAAGCUGUACCAGCGGGUCCUUGGAACGGGACUCUAGAUACCGGCCGCAUGCCUAACGCAUGUAUUCAGAACGAGAAUAAGCUCAUGGGGGAUGAGGACUGCCUCUAUCUUAAUGUCUAUACGCCGAAGCUUCCUAGUAGCCAAAAUGCUACGUUACUGCCAGUGAUGGUCUACAUCUAUGGUGGACAAUUCAGGUUUGGAACGAGCACUCCUGACCGAUGGAGUCCAGAAUUUCUUCUUAAUAAGGACGUGGUUCUCGUAGUUCCGAACUAUCGUUUCGGAAUACUCGGAUUUUUGAGUACCGGCGACGAAGUAUCGCCUGGAAAUAAUUUACUAAAAGAUAUAGCUGAGGCUUUGAGAUGGACCCAACGAAAUAUCAAGUAUUUCGGUGGUGAUCCAAAUCAAGUAACUAUCUUCGGUGGAAGUUCAGGCGCUGCCAGCGUUCGCCUUUUAACCUUAUCUCCUUUAACAAAAGGACUCUUUCACCAAUUCAUGACACACAGUACACCGCAACUCUAUCCUCCUGUUCCUGAACCGUAUUCGGUGGCCGCCACGCGUGCCACGAAGUUGGGCGAAUACCUUGGUUGUCCAACCAACACGUCAACCACCCUUGUUAACUGUCUCAGGACUUUCAAUGGGUCAUACUUGUACGAAACAGACGUGCUGUUGAGGGAUGUAAGGACGGCCAGCCCUACUGUUUGGUAUCCUGUAGUCGAACCUGACGUAGAAGGUGCACUUUUUACGGAUACUCCAGCGAAUAUCAUUGCCAAUGGAGAACAGCAUGAUUUGCCGUGGGUGGCCCUUGUAACUAAGGAAGAAGGAAUUGUUGUAACUGCAGUGUACUAUGAUAGGCCAGACUUGUUCCAGCAAGUUUUAGACAACAUUGACUCUCACCUAAUCAGUUUCUUGAGACACGACGUUUGGUCAGCCGAUGUCGAUGCCCAAACUGCUGCUCUGAAGUCUCGUUACUUGAACGAUCUAACUGCCGACAGAAAAUUGCUACUGCACAAUUUGACUGACAUCAUAACCGAUUACGAGUUCACCUACCAUAUUUACAACGAGGUCAAACAACAUGCAAACAACUCUGCUUACAAGAGUCCCGCAUACCUUUGCACUUUUGACUACCGAGGCACUUUCAGCUAUAGCUACAAGUUUAGUGAUGGUAACACGGAGAAUUGGGGCGCGGCGCACGGAGACGAGCUGAUUUACCUCCUUCCUGGACCAAGGGAAAUGUUUGCGCCACCAGGCUAUGAAUUUAGUGAGACUGACAUGAAAGUGACCGACGCUAUGGUGGAGCUAUGGACAUCGUUUGCUAUCAAUGGGUUGCCGAAUACUGCAGCUCUCAAUGACAACGCGAUUUGGGAACCAUUCUCAUCAGACGAAAAAUAUCUUCAGAUCGGUAAUGACAGCGAUCCUGGAAUUCAGGUUAAAAGUGGUUUUCACGAAGAGCGAAUGCAGUUUUGGGAAAGAUUCUUUGCUGCUAAAAAGUAGAUUUAGUUUGAACUGCGGUUCCCAAUCAGAAUUCGUAUUCUCUGUUUUAAAAUAGUUUUUUGUGACUUGCCCGUCGGAGAAAGUGAAAGUGAUAUAGGAAUAAAUAUUUGAUGCCUAUCUUAGAACGCAAUGUACAGAACUUGGUUUCAAUACCUGAUAAUGAUAAUAUUAUCGCAUAAUGCGUAGUGGCAGUAGAUUUUUUAUUGAUCCAUCACCCACAUGUCAUACAUACAGCGUUCGGUAUCAUUGUCAGUGUUCCAUUGAGUAAUAUCAACCUGUGCCCUGGGAUGUUUAUUUGUGGCAUUGAAAGUAUGGCUUGGUCGUUUUCAGUUAUAGUGAGCAUCGAUUUUAUUCAAGGUAUUUGAAUUCGUGUCUGAAAAAAAGGAUUACCAUGUCAGUAUUACGUGUUUUUAAAAUUUUUGGAUGUGAUCUGAAAAAAAGCUGAAACGUAUUUAGAAUAUAAAAAUAAUGAAACGAUUAGUCAAACUUACAGCGCGCUCUCUGUGCGAAAAUCUGCAAGACUGAUGCCCAGCGGAUUUCCGUCAGUAAGUGCCGGCAGUGCACAGCGAGUCAGUCGGAAACUUUGACGUAUAACACUCGAUUUCUCUCGCUGUCCCAAUGCGCUGCGAUCAACGCAUCAGGAGUUACAGCCAAAAAAUGAGAACCAGUGUUUUCAACAUAUUUCAGCAGGUACAACCCGAGGUGGUUAUCGGUGG
rnacentral:misc_RNA from 1 species